rnacentral:misc_RNA from 1 species
GAUGAAGAACGUAGCGAAAUGCGAUAAGUAGUGUGAAUUGCAGAAUUCAGUGAAUCAUCGAAUCUUUGAACGCACAUUGCGCCCCUUGGUAUUCCAUGGGGCAUGCCUGUUCGAGCGUCAUUUGAACUCUCAAGCUUUGCUUGGUGUUGGGUGUUUGUCCUUUUAGGACUCGCCUCAAAAGAAUUGGCAGCCAGCGUAUUAGUCUUGGAGCGCAGCACAUUUUGCGAUCUAGCUAGUAAAUUGGCAACCAUCAAGCCUGUUUUAACACUUGACCUCGGAUCAGGUAGGGAUACCCGCUGAACUUAAGCAUAUCAAUAAGCGGAGGA